AGUUAUCGUUAAAAUCGUUGAUUUCUGAUGUCUUGGCAAUAGUUAAGCGUCAAAAAUUGUUAAAUACGAUGCUCUGAGUACAACAAUCUGGCAACGGAGUAUACUCGAGGCUCAGUCAACGUUGUCAAAUUGUCGUACUCAGCCUCUUAUGUUUCCGGCCCAAAAAACUGUCUUCUCCACCCCAACUGGCUUCAUGUAUCAUUAAAAUAGUUUAUUAUUGGUGUUUCUUGGCAAUAGUUAUGGGUUAGAAACCAGGAAAUAUGAUUCUCUGAGUACAACAAUCUGACAGAGGUGAACUCGAGUCUCAGUCACACCGUUGGCAGAUUAUCGAACAGAGCAUCGUAUUUACCGGUUUGUGAGCAAAAGCUAUUGUAAAAAAAAAAACCAAUAAUUAACCAUUUUAACGAUAACUAUAUAUAAAGUCAGUUAUUGGGGUCGAGGAGGUAGUUUUUGGGUCGGAAAUAGGCAAACAGAGGAGGUUGAGUACGACAAUCUGGCGACGUUGCUCAAUCUGUGGUUUGCAGUGUUCGUGUGCCCGUGUGAGGAGGUUGUGCACUUGUCAACGCCUCGCGGUUUAUAGCUUGGAGGUGCUGGGUUGGCGAGCACAUUAGGACUCCAGCAAGACGCAAACUGCCAUGCACACGCCGCCCCAGCCACCACCACCACCGUUUGAGAGUCUUUCUGGGGGUGCCUCGCGCUGUGCCAGUAUACGAAGGAAUAAAGCAGCUAGGUGGCUUGCUAGGUGGGGCCCCGUGAAUGACACCCACGACUGGAGGUGACACGUGACCUGCCUCCCUUCACCCUCCUCGGCAGGGAAGGAGAGGGGCGAGGAGGAAGGUCUGGAAGUGGCGCUGCGAGGCUGUUGGGUCAGAGGGAAGAAGAAUCACCAUCACCGGAUAUUCGUGCCGAUAAAUGAGUCAAGUACAGGUCAGCGUAGUACCGAAGUCUGUGAUCUUACUCCAUUCCUUCAGCUUAUCCUCUGGAGGGAGUCGCGGUGGUGUGCUGACUGCUUGUCGGCGCCACCCGCGAACCUUUUGACCCGACGCACAUGGGGUUGAAUAUUCGUCAAGGUGGACACUGACACUCGCCCAGCACGUCUGUUCGUCCGGCCUUUUGUUGUGGUGAGAUCGGUUCGGUGGCAGCUUGGGGACUGACUUGAGUUUUGAAGACUAAGAAUUUCCACCUUUUACAAGAUUAGAGGCAAAGAAGUGGAGUUAAAAAUAAUUAAAAUAUUACUUACAGUGCACAUGGAUGUACAUAUAUCCCUAAAACUUGGUGUUUGGGUUCGGUCAAACACGUGUACGAUUUCUUGUUUUGUCUGUGUGAACAUGCGUGGAAAGAUAAUUGGUUUCUUUCACAGGAGAGAAAUAUUCAUAUUCUCUUUAUUCCGGUACCCAUGCACACUGUAAUAAUAAAAUUUAUCCACCUCAUGUUAAGCGGCGCGGCUCAACGAUAAUCAUUAGGGCUUGGAGUCUAUUCCACGGCUGAAACGGUUUUUAAUUUGUCCGGUUCAUGGGGAGCAGGGCUGGUGCGGGGCGAGAGGGGGAUGCACACAGGCUUCGGAGUGGUCCCACACUGAAAGUUGGAACCAAAAGAGUUUGUCCAGAAGCUUAUCUGCAUCCCUUAUAAUUUAUCUAUGACGAAGAAGCAAGGCGUAAAGUUAUGGCUAGAUUAUAUUUCCCUAUUGCACUUCAACGGCAAGGAACGUGUCUGGCAGGCUUUGCACGAACGUAUUAGUGACAAGAUGUUGAAAAGUAACUUCUUGGUGCGGUGAAGCACUUUCGCCGUGCCCUGCUGCCACACCCGGAGCUGGGCAAGUGAGGCGGAGGGUGAGACAGCCGUGGCGGGUUGGCGGAGGGAGUAUAAGCGAAGCAUUGGGGAGAGUGGGUGUGCCUGGGGUCGGGUUGGGUCACUGGGUCAGUGAUUUGUCAGGGUGAGGGGAGGUGAAGGGAGUGAUUGGUGGUGCUUUUCUUGGCUCUCCUCUCCUCUCUCGGCUCACCUGCUCCCGCCAGGCCUCUCCUCUUCCUCCUACAUUAUCACAUGUCCUUUCUUCUACCUUCCCUCCUUUUUUCCACCUUUUCUGCCUUUUUGCCACUUUUCCUUUACACUCCAUG